ensembl:lncRNA
GAUUACACACCAUCCCUGCUAACACACGACGUAACAGUUACGUAACGUAUUGGUAAUUAUUGGUAAUUCCGUGACUUACCAAUUGACAACGUAACUACGACGUCGCAUGACUGUAAUUUUGUUACCAUCCCAUUACCAACUCACAACGUCGUCAGUACGUCCUUCCAACGUGACCAGAUAACCAAGAACGUCCCAGAUUGGUUCUCUAUUCGUUAUAUAUUGGUAACUUCAUGACUUACUGGCAACGUAACUACAACGUCGUAUGCACGUAAUUUCAUUACCAUAACUUUUGUACGUGCUUUAUAUGCUCUCUGAGUAUAGUGAUAAAAAGUGUAAUUAAACUUCAGACACAAGAUUAAACGUUCCUUAAAGAUAAAAUGUGUUUCUUUUCACCAAGUCAGAAUAUGGACAUGUUUUAAUAUAUAGUGACGUAACAUACAGCGCGCGCGCUUCCACAGCUGACACACCGCGCGCACAGACAAGAAAGGAAAUACAUUUUGUGAAACUUUCUAUUUCGUAAGGAGUUAUGAACGUGAAAUAAUGACACAGACUGGCUACACCAUCUCAUCUGCCGCAGAUACUGUAUCAGGAGGACAGCGCGUUUGUUUGAGGCACUUUUCACUUCAACUGUGUCUGACAGGAGAAUUAGCUUUUCUGAGCUUACUAGCCGUUGAGAGUUACCAUGGCAACCGCGGACACAUCAGCUGCUGGAGAGGAGAGGACUCCUCUGACACUUUCUCUGUUUCUCGUCAGUUAUACCAAAGAAAAGUUCAACAACUGCGACAGAUUGCUUAACCGUUGAGAGUUGCCAUGGCAACCGCGGACACGUCAUCAGCUACUGGAGAGGACGCGUCUGACACUUUCUCUGUUUCUCGUCAGUUAUACCAAAGAAAAGUUCAACAACUGCGACAGAUCGUUUGUUUAUUUCUAAUAAGGAGCUGGAGGCCCUGGAGAAGCAGAUCCGUGACCUCGUGGAGAAGCAGGCUCAGCUGAGAGAGCGGAGAGCCGUGAUGGAAACAUUCAGGGGUUGAUGCUCAUAAGUCCGGUGUAAGUAUACAGCACGCUGCUAACUCUCCCACCACCUCUACUCUGUGUGGUUCUCUGCACAGGCCCGGUGUACCCAGGACGCAAUCUUUCCAGAUGUCCUUCACCCUGUGCCACAGCGUAAGACAUGAGCCAGGUCCUGGGCGACAACCUCUCUCCCCCCGCCGCCUCCGGUCUUCGGGAACUCCACUGGAAACCGAUUUGCUCCACUUCACGAGACAGAACACGACUCUGUGUUCGUCAGAGACUCCAUUAUCCGGCACGUUCGUGCUAUGUAAGCUGAAGGUAAUGUGCACACUCACUGUUUCCCUGGUGCUCGUGUUCUUGAUAUUUCUGCGCAGAUACCCGUGAUCCUGAAGGGUGAAGAGAGCAUCGGAGCGGUCGUGCUUCACACCGGGGUUAACGAUACCAAGCUGCGGCAGACGCAGACACUAAAGAGGGACUUCAGGAGCCUGAUCGAGACGGUGCGCAGCAUAUCGCCUGCACGAUGAUCAUCAUCUCAGCACCUCUUCUCAUGUAUAGAUGAGGACACGAAAGGUUCAGUAGAUUUUUUGCUCUAAAUGAAUGGUUAUUGUCAUGGUGUAAAGAACAGAAACUGCUCUUUGUUAAUAAUUGGAAUCUUUUCUGGGAGCGACCUAGGCUUUUUCGCGCUGAUGGCCUGCACCCCAGCAGAGUCGGAGCAGAACUCCUGUCGGACAACAUCUCAAGGACUCUACACUCCAUUGACUAGGCAGUUUGUGAAGACAGAUAAUCAAGAGAUGUGACAAACUGUACAGAAGUCAGUUCCAGAUCCACCCUCCACACCAGACCUCUCUCAUAUGGACUGCUGUCUACUAGCAUACUUCGGUGGAUUCAGAUAUUACUCAGGGACAUGAACACUUGAAUAUUGCAAGCAUAGAGAAAGUAAGAAUUACUGAAGAUUUAAGAAUUUAAUGUUAAUUGCUUAAACAUUAUAUAUACUGUUUUAGCAAUUAACAUUAAUAGUUUUUUUUUGGUGUCCAAAGCACCUAAAAGCCAAUUCACACCACCAUACUCCAACAGUUCAAACAAAACAAAAUAAGCAUGUUUUUUUAAAUAGUUUUUUUGGCAGUGUGAACUGGCCAUAAUGAUGUAUGUUAGGUGUGAGAUUCAUUAAACCUGAUUUGCUAUUAUACAUCUGUUCAUAAGAUAUUGCAUAUGAUUUUCAGUUAAUUGUUUGUAGUGGUUUGGUAAAGGGUGUGAUUAGCUGAUGUAUUAUUGUGGGAGCAUGUGAUUAGUUGAUGAAUUGUGUGCAUGGUUAAUGAUGGCUCUUAAGUAUUUAAAUGCAAUGGGCUGAGUGCCUACUAAGACUUGAAUAUUUCAUGACCCUGGAUGCUAACAGAAGGAUAUAGAUAUUUAAAUAUAUGGACAUUUAUUUAUUAUUAAUAUAUUUUAAUCUAUCUAUGCUUCUGUAUGGGCUGAAUGCUUUCAUUCACAUUUUGCUGUAUAUCCUAUGUUUUUUUAUUAAUAAUUUGGGUGUAUUACUGGUCAUAUUUGUUUGUUAAUAAAUGAACUGAAUUCAUUUCGAGUCUGUAUUCAUUAUUCACAGCUGCUGAAACAGCCUUUAAAUUAGUUUGGGCAUAUGAGGACAUAAAUUAGAUUAAACUACUGCAUGUCCGCCCAUAAAAAAUAAAUAAUUAUCAAAAAUUACCAACUGAUUACCAGCACACAACUACCGAUUCGCGACGUUGCCACGACGUCGCAGUUACUUACUGGUAACGUCACAAAGUUACGUUGUGGCGACGUAUACGCACCUUUCACUUUUCCGGUUGCCACGACGUAACUAGUUACGUCGCCACGACGAAACUUUGGUCACCAGAUUACGUUGCAGUUACGUAACAGUUACGUACUUUUGUUAGCUGGGAUAUUA